rnacentral:rRNA from 1 species
UACGUAGGCAGCGAGCGUUGUUCGGAGUUACUGGGCGUAAAGGGUGUGUAGGCGGUUGUUUAAGUUUGGUGUGAAAUCUCCCGGCUCAACUGGGAGGGUGCGCCGAAUACUGAAUGACUUGGAGUGCGGGAGAGGAAAGAGGAAUUCCUGGUGUAGCGGUGAAAUGCGUAGAUAUCAGGAGGAACACCGGUGGUGUAGACGGCUUUCUGGACCGUAACUGACGCUGAGACACGAAAGCGUGGGUAGCAAACAGG